rnacentral:rRNA from 1 species
CAGUAGCCGCGGGAAUACAGAGGGUGCGAGCGUUAAUCGGAUUUACUGGGCGUAAAGCGUGCGUAGGCGGCUUUUUAAGUCGGAUGUGAAAUCCCUGAGCUUAACUUAGGAAUUGCAUUCGAUACUGGGAAGCUAGAGUUUGGGAGAGGAUGGUAGAAUUCCAGGUGUAGCGGUGAAAUGCGUAGAGAUCUGGAGGAAUACCGAUGGCGAAGGCAGCCAUCUGGCCUAAUACUGACGCUGAGGUACGAAAGCAUGGGGAGCAAACAGGAUUAGAUACCCCUGUAGUCCCUGUCUCUUAUAC